CCUACUGGAGACAGCAGUGGGGGAUAUUGCACAAUGGGGGAAACCCUGAUGCAGCGACGCAGCGUGUGGGAAGACGGUCCUCUGGAUUGUAAACCACUUUCCCCAGGGACGAAGAUGACGGUACCUGGGGAGGAAGCUCCGGCUAACUACGUGCCAGCAGCCGCGGUAAUACGUAGGGAGCAAGCGUUGUCCGGAAUUACUGGGUGUAAAGGGAGCGGAGGCGGGAUGGGAAGUUGGGUGUUAAAUCUACCGGCUCAACUGGUAGUCGCACUCAAAACUGCUAUUCUUGAGUGAAGUAGAGGCAGGCGGAAUUCCUAGUGUAGCGGUGAAAUGCGUAGAGAUUAGGAGGAACACCAGUGGCGAAGGCGGCCUGCUGGGCUUUUACUGAUGCUGAGGCUCGAAAGUGUGGGGAGCAAACAGGAUUAGAUACCCGGGUAGUC
rnacentral:rRNA from 1 species